GCCAGUGUGGUUUAGUGAUUUAAGCACUGGACUACGAUUCUGGAGACCAGGGUUCAAAUCCCCAUUCAGCCA
rnacentral:tRNA from 1 species